rnacentral:lncRNA from 1 species
AACUUGUGGAAGAUGGUAACCAAAAGAACGUAAGAUUUGAUUUGGAUGAUGAGAGGGUGAUUGUUUUGAACUAUGAAUCAGCAAGAAUAGCCACAUCGCGUAUACUGAAACGCCAUAGAAUACCUCAUGCCAUGUCCAGCGACCUUACCGAUGAUCAAAAUGCUGCUGAACUUGAGUUGGCUUGCUCAACGUCUCUAUAAAGGCGUCCUUUGCUAUUAUAGAGGAUGAUUGUUGUAGAAUCGCGUAUACUGAAACGCCAUAGAAUACCUCAUGCCAUGCCUAGCAACCUUACCGAUGAUCAAAAUGCUGCUGAACUUGAGUUGGCUUGCUCAACGUCUCUAUAAAAGCGU